GCGCAAUUCCCUGAUUGAAAAACAAAUAAGAGGAAAAAAGGAUUGUUACUGAAUUGCUUAAUAUCAGUCUUACAUGAUCACCUAUAAAUGAAACAGAAGAAAUAUUGCAAAAGGCCCUAUACCUCUUCAUAUCUAUUAAAAUUUGUGGUUACUAAUGCAGCUUGGCAAAAUAUAGAAACCAAGAUAACUAACACAUCAAAAAGAAAGAAGAGAUUUAAUGUAAAAAUUCUCUCAUCACCAAUGCCCAGUAUAAUUUGUGAAAUCUCUAAUAAGCAGAGCUACAGUGGAAUGAAAAAGUUCUAUUUAUGUCUACCAUCAACAAAGAUUUAAGUGAAUUCAUCACUCAAUAAGACAUUAACCAGUACAUUCACUGUAACAAUUUAGUUCUCAGAAUUAUUAUUUUAAAGCAAAAGUGAGAGAGAGAAAGUAUGAAGGAGGACAACUAAAAUUUUUGAAAAGCAGAAAAAAACCCAAAUUUUCUGCUCAGGUAAAAGAAAGUGACAAUAUGAUGAUCAUUGAACUGUCCGCAAAGGUCCAACCCCUUCUUCCUUUUCAAUAGAUUUUUCAUUCACACACACACACACACACAC
rnacentral:misc_RNA from 1 species